GUUAAGAUGGCCGAGUUGGUCUAAGGCGCCAGGUUCAGGUUACGGCCGAAAGGGCAUGGGUUCGAAUCCCAUUAUAUACA
rnacentral:tRNA from 1 species